AACAUCGCGCACCUGCGGGAACCUGCGGAGGGAUCAUUACAGAGUUGCAAAACUCCCUAAACCAUUGUGAACGUUACCUAAACCGUUGCUUCGGCGGGCGGCCCGGGUCCUUCCCGGCGCCCCUCGGCCCUCGCGGGCGCCCGCCGGAGGUAAACCAAACUAUUGCAUUGUAUGGCCUCCCUGAGUCUUCUGUACUGAAUAAGUCAAAACUUUCAACAAUGGAUCUCAGAUCGGAAGAGC
rnacentral:misc_RNA from 1 species